rnacentral:rRNA from 1 species
AUGUCCCGGUUAUUUACUGCCAUGCACAUGCGCGAGCAAACGAUGGGAGAGGGGGGAAAAAGGAGGGCAUUGAUUCGGUGUUUUUUUUGUUAUACUGUUGCUCACCUCUCUGCGGCGACGGUCGCGGCGGGCCCAUGGACGCAAUGUUGCAGUUGGCGCGCCGGCCGGCGAUCAUCGGGUUCGGGUUCUGCACCGCCUGCUGCGCCGCCUCCGGGUCCCGGAACGUCACCUGCGGAGAGAAGAGAAGAUGGGAACGCGCCCGAUGAGAACGACGCACGGAUCGCCGGCGAUGGCGUAUGUAUCGGCGAGAGGGAGGGAGAGAGGGGGGAGGGAGGAGGACGUACGAAUCCGUAG